rnacentral:rRNA from 1 species
UACGUAGGGAGCAAGCGUUGUCCGGAAUCAUUGGGCGUAAAGCGCGCGUAGGUGGCCACAUAAGUCCGUUGUGAAAGUCAAAGGCUCAACCUUUGAAAGCCGAUGGAUACUGUGUGGCUAGAGUACGGAAGAGGCGAGUGGAAUUCCUGGUGUAGCGGUGGAAUGCGCAGAUAUCAGGAGGAACACCAAUAGCGAAGGCAGCUCGCUGGGACGUUACUGACACUGAGGCGCGACAGCGUGGGGAGCAAACAGG